CUUUGUACCAGUCAUCUCCAUAAUUCAAGACCUAGGCACAGAACAAGUGUCACCAGGUUUGAAGUCACAGCUGAGACUGAAGUACGAAUUCAUCAUGUUUUCCAAAGAGAGAGUGGAAGAGAGAGGAAAGACAGAGAGAAAUAUUGAUGUGAGAGAAACAUCAAUUGGUUGCCGCUUGCACUGACCCUGACCAAGGUUGGGACUAGGGAGGCUCCUGAAACUGAGGAGCUCAGUGCACCAUUUGAAAUCGCACG